AAAUGAAUAGACGGGGACCCGCACAAGCGGUGGAGCAUGUGGUUUAAUUCGACGGUAAACGAAGAACCUCACCAAGGCUUGACAUCUAGCUGCAAGGUCUGGAAACAGAUCCGCCUUCGAGGGUGCUAGACAGAUGCUGCAUGGUUGUCGUCAGUUCGUGUCGUGAGAUGUACCGUUAAGUCGGAAAACGAACGCAACCCUUUUCUUAUGUUUUACAUGUCAUAAGAGACUGCCCGUUUUAAAUGGGAGGAAGGUGGGAUGACGUCAAAUCAGCAUGGUUCUUACGCCUUGGGCUACACACGUGCUACAAUGGGAGGUACAAAGGGAUGCCAAACCGCGAGGUGGAGCCAAUCCCAAAAAACCUCUCUCAGUUCGGAUUGAAGUCUGCAAUUCGACUUCAUGAAGUUGGAAUCGCUAGUAAUCGUAGGUCAGCUAUACUACGGUGAAUACGUUCUCGGGUCUUGUACACACCGCCCGU
rnacentral:rRNA from 1 species